GGUCGCCGCAUCAAGUCCAGGA
rnacentral:siRNA from 1 species